rnacentral:rRNA from 1 species
UACGUAGGGCGCAAGCGUUGUCCGGAAUCAUUGGGCGUAAAGAGCUCGUAGGCGGUUUGUCGCGUCUGCUGUGAAAACCUAAGGCUCAACCUUGGGCUUGCAGUGGGUACGGGCAGACUAGAGUGCGGUAGGGGUGACUGGAAUUCCUGGUGUAGCGGUGGAAUGCGCAGAUAUCAGGAGGAACACCGAUGGCGAAGGCAGGUCACUGGGCCGCAACUGACGCUGAGGAGCGAAAGCAUGGGGAGCGAACAGG